CUAAUAUGGCAGAUUAGUGCAAUGGAUUUAAACCCCAUAUAUAAAGUUUUUCUUUUUUUAGAAA
rnacentral:tRNA from 1 species